rnacentral:sRNA from 1 species
UGACAUUAAGAACCUAUGUCACCCCACUGAUGGCCAGGGCUGACUGGGCUGGCCUGACUCUGCAUGUGUGUCCCUCUGCUCUACUGCUCUACGUGAGCACAUUCUUAAGCUGCGCUCAGUGUGAGAUGGCGACCACCCUAAUAGAAGAGAAGCCCUUACUUGGUCAAGAGUAUAGUUGUAGCGCAGCUCUCUGAUAGAGCCUUCAAACAAAAUCACUGUACCUUUACUUAUACAUAUUCUAUCCCAGAUUUCCAGUAAUAACUAUAUGGAAACAAAACAAAUAAGCAGAAAAUAAUGU